UGGAAUUGUGUUUUAUCAGCUGAAGCCUGAUGUCCAGAAUGAUCAGUCCUGUUCUGAGGCGUGCAGUAAUUGGAUCUGGGGGUUUCUGAAGUGGCCGGCUUUGCAUUGUACCUUCUUGAUUAACGUGCUUAUUUACAAUACUUUAAAAGAUCGGACUCGAAAUGUACUUUUAGCUGGUAGUACACUGCCCUGUUUGCUGAGAAAACUUACCAGUGUACGAUCCGUUGUGUCUUUGAUUGUUAAUGUUUAGUUUUUGUUAUUUGUUUCUUAUUAGAACGCAGUUCUGAUUGUUUUAAAGUGAAAAUACCAUCAUGCUUUAGAAGGCUCAACCAGGAUGGCUGCUGCUGUCUCUUCUGUUGCAAUGAUCGUGCCUGAAGAUGAACUCAAGUGUCCCAUCUGCCAGGAUCUGAUUAACAACCCGGUGACAAUCCCCUGUGGACACAACUUCUGCAUGAAGUUCAUUGACAAUUACUGGAGGAGGACACUCUCCUUGUCUUACUCGUGUCCUCACUGCAGGUAAUCGUUCUCCCAGCUCCCCUCCCUGCACCCGAACACCAUGCUCUGCUCCAUGAUCAAGCACACGGUGAAAAGCAAAGGGCUGAAGCCAGACUGCAGUGGCACAAGACAGGGAUGUGCCCUGCAAUGUCUGUACUGGUACGAAGCUCAGGGCCGUGAAGACGGGCGUGAACUGCCUGGCUUCUUUCUGUGAUGUUCAUCUCAGGCCUCACCUGGAGAGCGGUGUGCUGAGGCUGCACGGACUGAGGGACCCAAGCACCACAAGAGGCUGCUGGAGUACUUUUGUAAGAAGUGCCUCUGCAAUCUGUGCCUGGCAAAGCACCGGAAGUGUCCGACUCAGACAGUGGAAGAGCGACAAGGGGUAAAAGAGGUAACUGCUAGUCAGUUUAAGGCUGAUGUAACCACGUACUUUGUUGGUCUAAGAGAGAUCAUUGCUGGCACACACCAUUGCGCUUAUUGAAGCUGGAGAGCUGGAGGGCUGGAGGUCUUGGGACAAACAGCAAGCAUCUUGGAGUUGCUGAACCUGAAAACCCAAAAGAUGGAGGAAUACGAAGAGGAAAUUAACAAACAAAUCAAUGAGACGGACCUUUCUGAUUUUCUAAAGGUUGGCAUGUGAUAAAGAGCAGAGGACAGACAGGCUGUGUUCAGCUAUGAGAAGCAGAGGUACCUGCAGUUACAGCCUGGCCCUUUAAGAGAUUAUGUGACGUUUUUAUAUUAUUUAUUGCAUAGCAGUUUCCCCCAUUCCUCAUUCCAAUAAACCUGAUUAGCGAUCGUAUAUAGGUAAGAAGCGCAGGUGGGUCUUAUUAUAGUAAAACCAGGAAUGGAUCAAACCUCUAUGCAAUGGGAGUCAUAUUUUCAUCCCUGAGAUAUUGGAGCCUAUUCACAAAUCUCUAACCUCAAGAUCGCCAACAAGUCUAAGAAAUCGUAUUUAAUUCUUUAACAGCACAAACUGGUGUUGCCUCUUCUGUAUGAGCACCCUAAAUACCCAGCUCGAAUCAGUCCUGGAUCUACAAGAAACAGGCCAGUUGUGUUUGAUAAUGUAUGGUUCGAAACAGGAUACAUAACAAAGAUUUAAUAUUCUCAUUUUGUUUCACAUGUGUGGCAAAAAUAGAUAAUGUUAAACGUAUAAGAAAGUAAGUCAAAUAGACAAAGGUGCCAUGAUCCGAACGUAUUUUUGCUGCAGUUAUGGACAAAAAUAAAUUAAUAAAUCCAUUUACUCCACAGAUCCAGAUUCAAGGGACUUUGAUUUGGUCAGUGGCCAUCAGAAGCCAAGGAGUAAACUAAUGCAAUGUGCCUGUGAGUUACCCUUUGACUCCAGCACUUCCAGUGCCUCUGUUCUACUGUCUGAACUCAGCUGUGUAGCGUCUGUUGAAGAGGCUGACCUACAGGCCUGGAAAGACUAUGUGGUCAACGUUGACAUGGGCUUCAGAAUUCUGUGCACCCGAAAUUUCCAAAGCAGGCAGCAAGACUGGGAAGUGGACAGAAACAGCAACUGGGCAAUCAGAGUGUCCUACAGGAGUGUAUCCGAUCGCUACCGCACAUUGGGCAAGGACAAGACAUCGUGGUGCAUAAAAUCACGCUGUGUGUACGUGAAGGAGGCUGCAGGAUUUGAAUUGCCUUCCAAGGGUCUUUUUGCUUAUGACGGUGUAGUGCACGAAGUCCCUCAGCAGUGUCCCGGGAACGUGGGAGUCUAUCUAGACUGCAAUAAGGGAUCCCUGUCUUUCUUUUCUGUGUCCGAUACAAGGUUCUGUUCACCAAGCCUGUGUACUCUGCUGUCUGGCUGAGACAGCCCAAGAGUAAAAUUAAAAUCAUUGAACAGAGCUCUAAUAAGAGUCAGGUCUCUGAGGUAAUGGAUCAGUCUUUCAGUUCUAGAUUCUAGCUGAGUGGCUAAGUGUUGGUGAUGGGGUCUGCAGUUCAGCAACGCAAUAUAUUUUGUCAACAUAAUCCCAAUUGUUUGGCAUAAAGUCAGCUGGGGAAAAAGAACAACCCCCCCCCCCCUUCAAGAUUGUUCUGCCACCCUUUUAAGGUAUGUACUUCAUAAACUAGGUUACUGUUUUUGUAGGUUUGGUUGUGGCGGUUGGUAACCCCAAGCAAGUUGUUUUUCUUUUUAUCCCAAUGUUUAACAUAUGCAAUUCCUUGUAUCCCUAAUCAUGAACACUUUAUACCAAAUUCGUACAGCAAUUUCUUGGUAUAGCUCUUAUUAUCACAGUAGCAUUUGCGCAUUCUUAUGUUUACACAGAAACUAUGAUAUAUAACUAUCCUUUUAAGUUUAUUUCAACAGCAGGUGUUAGAAUCAAAUUCCUAGCAAACCCAAAGCAAGCAAUAAGGUUUAGGCU